CGGCCCCCAUACUUUUAGCAUUUUCCGAUGACAUUUAUUUUACUGGCUUAUGAGAAAUUAAUUUUCCUACAGUUCCAAGAUUGACAUUGCACUUAUCGAUCCCCCACCACUUUCACUAUUCUUCUCUCUUCUUUCAUUAUGCUCUAAGUUUGAACAACUAGCUGAAUGUUUGCAAUUUUCAGAUGGACGUUGCAUCAGUUUUAGGUAGUCUCUCUCAAAUGGUUUACAAAUCUCUAUCACAACUUUACCUUUAAAAAAAAAAAAAAUCUGCAUAUGUUUCUCUCAGUUUCAUCUUGAACUCCUCUUCUAUUAUGUAAUUAAAUUUCAUACAAAGUGGUUAUAUCAAAUUGAAUUUAAAACCAGAGUUUUCUUUGGGAAGAAAUGGAGCUAUUUGACAAAUACCAGAAUAGAACAAUUGGGGUUUUCAGAUAUUGGAGUUUUUUAAUUCAGUUGUGUUCUUUUCAACCUAAAAAUUUGCAAGAAAUAUGUUAAUUUUUUUUUCUAGAUGAACUUUUUCAAAUCAAAAUUGUUAGUUUUUCUGUUCAUUUGUGAAAUAUUGAACCAACCCAUUUGCUAGAUUUGCUAUAGGUGUUUGUGUUUUUUCGGUUACCUCAUCUGUUAGUGUAGGUUUUUUAUUGUUGGUUCGGUUUUAAGGAGUGUCUGUGUACAUUUGUUUUUUGGAGUUGUUUGGUGCUUCUUGUUGCCGUAUUUUUUUUUCUACACUGGCCUAUGCUUUUGCUGUUUUGUGACAGUGGACAGUGGCUUUCUUUUGUAUUGGAGCAGCUUGCCUUAUUAGCACUUCUGUUGCGUGGCUCUAAUUUACAUAUGCCGAUUCAAAAAAAAAAAAAAGACAUUUGCUAGAUCGGUUAAAAUUAGUUGAAGAACUAAGUGGGCUUUUGAUCUCUAUUUUAUAGAAUUUCUAAUAUGUGAUGAGGCCUUUUUUUGUGAGUUUUCUCACAAUGUUUUGCUUUUUAUUUUACUUUGAUUUUGUUACUUAUAGUGUUUUGGUUUUUGUUUCAUCCUUGAUAAAUACUCAUGAGAACAAGCAACAACUACUAGAUGUGGAAGACAUAAGCAACAAAGUGAUGUUUACUUGAAGCUACAAUGUCAUAUAGCUAUUGUUGAGUGAUGAUAAAUGUAAAUCAAUGAUAAGCUGAUUUGAGUUUUUUCUGGUCUUUGGAAUGGAUGUCAAUACUGAUGGUAAAUGAUUAUGAAGUGUACCAGCUAUUAAUUCUGCCACUUCAUUGGAGAUCAACGUGAGAACUUUGAAAUUGAGUGAAAGUGAACAGAGAUAAAAGAGAAGAGAUCUGUUUGGUUGCAGGUCUGUUUUUUUGGCUGGUUUGGGUGGUUUUGGCUGUUUUGGUGUGGUUAUUAGCCGUGAGUAUGCUUCGGGUAAAUUUCACUCUUAAAAGAACUUUUUGUGGUCAGCUUUGUUGUCAGUUGAUUUUUUUUUCAUUUUGGCGUGCAUUUUUUUCUACGAUCGUGAAGUAUUCUCUCACGGCCAAUUAUAUGUCGCAAUUUCGAGGGUAUCAUCAAGGAAUGGUUUGAAAAUACUCAUGAUUGAUGAAAAUGGUGAUUGCAUUGAUAAUACAACCAAUGUUGUAUACAAAGUAUUCCAAAAUGUAUGGACAUCUAAAAAUAAUAUGAGAGCCUUUGAGAUCAUUUUGUACUUGACUUUCUCCGACAUGUACAGAUUUUAUAGGUCAUAUUCUGCUUUAUUUUAUUA